rnacentral:rRNA from 1 species
AUGACUCGGAACCUGAGGGAUAAGUAUUAUGACUCCAACGUAUCCUACCUGAACAGAUUGAUCCGGCGCUUUGCCUUAGAAGUUGUAAGGCAAAAAUUUGACGGAUCUCUUGAACAUUCUGCUCAUGAUGAUUAUCAGUAUGAUUUUGUUGCUAGACUUGAAGAAGAUGCUGAGAAUCAUUGCAGGGACAGCCUUGUAAACUCUGAUCCAGCUUCUGAGGAGAAAGGAAAUGUUGCAUCAUGUGCCUCCACAUGCAGCAACGGAAACUGA